rnacentral:rRNA from 1 species
UACGUAGGGUGCGAGCGUUGUCCGGAAUUACUGGGCGUAAAGAGCUCUAGGUGGUUUGUCGCGUUGUCCGUGAAAACUCACAACUCAAUUGUGGGCGUGCGGGCGAUACGGGCAGACUGGAGUACUGCAGGGGAGACUGGAAUUCCUGGUGUAGCGGUGGAAUGCGCAGAUAUCAGGAGGAACACCGGUGGCGAAGGCGGGUCUCUGGGCAGUAACUGACGCUGAGGAGCGAAAGCGUGGGGAGCGAAGCAGG